UUUACUUGAUUUCUUCGGAAUGACGGCAUUUAAUCGAGUGGCGGACGGGUGAGUAACGCGUGGGUAACCUGCGCUAUGCAGGGGGAUACCAGUUGGAAACGACUGUUAAUACCGCAUAAGCGCACGGGACCGCAUGGUCCUGUGUGAAAAGCUCCGACGGUAUAGGAUGGACCCGCGUCUGAUUAGCUAGUUGGUGAGGUAACGGCUCACCAAGGCGACGAUCAGUAGCCGACCUGAGAGGGUGACCGGCCACAUUGGGACUGAGAUACGGCCCAGACUCCUACGGGAGGCAGCAGUGGGGAAUAUUGGGCAAUGGGCGAAAGCCUGACCCAGCAACGCCGCGUGAAGGAAGAAGGCCCUCGGGUUGUAAACUUCUUUUAGCAGGGACGAAACAAAUGACGGUACCUGCAGAAAAAGCAACGGCUAACUACGUGCCAGCAGCCGCAGUAAUACGUAGGUUGCAAGCGUUGUCCGGAUUUACUGGGUGUAAAGGGCGUGUAGGCGGAGAUGCAAGUUGGGAGUGAAAUCCCGGGGCUCAACCCCGGAACUGCUUUCAAAACUGUAUCCCUUGAGUAUCGGAGAGGCAAGCGGAAUUCCUAGUGUAGCGGUGAAAUGCGUAGAUAUUAGGAGGAACACCAGUGGCGAAGGCGGCUUGCUGGACGACAACUGACGCUGAGGCGCGAAAGCGUGGGGAGCAAACAGGAUUAGAUACCCCGGUAGUCCUGGCUGUAAACGAUGAAUGCUAGGUGUGCGAGCAGAGAUGUUGGCGUGCCGCAGUUAACGCGAUAAGCAUUCCGCCUGGGGAGUACGGUCGCAAGAUUGAAACUCAAAGGAAUUGACGGGGGCCCGCACAAGCGGUGGAGCACGUGGUUUAAUUCGAUGCAAACCGAAGAACCUUACCUGGGUUUGACAUGUAUGUGGUAGGAGCUGGAAACAGUGACGACUUAGCCGUAAGGUUAAGAGCAUACACAGGUGCUGCAUGGCUGUCGUCAGCUCGUGUCGUGAGAUGUUGGGUUAAGUCCCGCAACGAGCGCAACCCCUGCGGCCAGUUGCCAGCGAGUAAAGUUGGGCACUCUGGCAGGACUGCCAUCGACAAGAUGGAGGAAGGUGGGGACGACGUCAAGUCAUCAUGGCCCUUAUGUCCAGGGCGACACACGUGCUACAAUGGGCGGUACAGAGGGAAGCGACACUCUGAGGUGAAGCGGAUCCCAUAAAGCCGCUCGCAGUUCGGAUUGAAGUCUGC
rnacentral:rRNA from 1 species